rfam:Arthrobacter sp. YC-RL1 contig_22, whole genome shotgun sequence.
AAUUGAACCCGUGACUGGCGUUUGGUGGACUACCACCGGGGAGCUAAUCGUGGGAGCCGCGCGCCUGGGUUCGCACA